UCCCUGGUGGUCCAGUGGUUAAGACUCUGCACUUGCAAUGCAGGGGGCACGGGUUCGAACCCUGGUUGGGGAA